AUCGCUUCUCAGCCUUUUGGCUAAGAUCAAGUUUAGUAUCUGUUUUCAUCAGUUUAAAAAACGAGGCAGAUAAACCUCCAGGGGAAUCGGGUGAUUUUUGAAAAUGAAAAAGAUUUUGAAAUGAUCUCAGGUUUGCAGGAAAGUUACAAAACGUAUUCAAAUAAUUGCUGUAUACACUUUAC